rnacentral:rRNA from 1 species
AGCGGCGGACGGGUGAGUAACGCGUGGGUAACCUGCCCUGUACACACGGACAACAUACCGAAAGGUAUGCUAAUACGAGAUAAUAUGCUUUUAUCGCAUGGUAGAAGUAUCAAAGCUUUUGCGGUACAGGAUGGACCCGCGUCUGAUUAGCUAGUUGGUAAGGUAACGGCUUACCAAGGCGACGAUCAGUAGCCGACCUGAGAGGGUGAUCGGCCACAUUGGAACUGAGACACGGUCCAAACUCCUACGGGAGGCAGCAGUGGGGAAUAUUGCACAAUGGGCGAAAGCCUGAUGCAGCAACGCCGCGUGAGUGAUGAAGGCCUUCGGGUCGUAAAACUCUGUCCUCAAGGAAGAUAAUGACGGUACUUGAGGAGGAAGCCCCGGCUAACUACGUGCCAGCAGCCGCGGUAAUACGUAGGGGGCUAGCGUUAUCCGGAUCUACUGGGCGUAAAGGGUGCGUAGGUGGUCUCUUAAGUCAGGAGUGAAAGGCUACGGCUUAACCGUAGUAAGCUCUUGAAACUGGGAGACUUGAGUGCAGGAGAGGAAAGUGGAAUUCCUAGUGUAGCGGUGAAAUGCGUAGAUAUUAGGAGGAACACCAGUAGCGAAGGCGGCUUUCUGGACUGUAACUGACACUGAGGCACGAAAGCGUGGGGAGCAAACAGGAUUAGAUACCCUGGUAGUCCACGCCGUAAACGAUGAGUUCUAGGUGU